rnacentral:rRNA from 1 species
GACGAACGCUGGCGGCGUGCUUAACACAUGCAAGUCGAGCGGUAAAGCCCUUUCGGGGGUACGACGAGCGGCGAACGGGUGAGUAACACGUGGGUGACCUGCCCUCAGCUCUGGGAUAAGCCUGGGAAACUGGGUCUAAUACUGGAUAUGACUCCACGGUGCAUGUCGUGGGGUGGAAAGCCUUGUGCGGCUGAGGAUGGGCCCGCGGCCUAUCAGCUUGUUGGUGGGGUGANGGCCUACCAAGGCGACGACGGGUAGCCGGCCUGAGAGGGCGACCGGCCACACUGGGACUGAGACACGGCCCAGACUCCUACGGGAGGCAGCAGUGGGGAAUCUUGCGCAAUGGGCGAAAGCCUGACGCAGCGACGCCGCGUGAGGGAUGACGGCCU